CGGGUGCGUAACGCGUGGGAACCUGCCUUUAGGUUCGGAAUAACUCCCCGAAAGGGGUGCUAAUACCGGAUGAUGUCUUCGGACCAAAGAUUUAUCGCCUUUAGAUGGGCCCGCGUUGGAUUAGCUAGUUGGUGGGGUAAAGGCCUACCAAGGCGGCGAUCCAUAGCUGGUCUGAGAGGAUGAUCAGCCACACUGGGACUGAGACACGGCCCAGACUCCUACGGGAGGCAGCAGUGGGGAAUAUUGGACAAUGGGCGAAAGCCUGAUCCAGCAAUGCCGCGUGAGUGAUGAAGGCCUUAGGGUUGUAAAGCUCUUUUACCAGGGAUGAUAAUGACAGUACCUGGAGAAUAAGCUCCGGCUAACUCCGU
rnacentral:rRNA from 1 species